rnacentral:rRNA from 1 species
UACAGAGGGGGCAAGCGUUGUUCGGAAUUACUGGGCGUAAAGGGCGCGUAGGCGGCCCGCUAAGUCGAACGUGAAAUCCCCGAGCUCAACUCGGGAACUGCGUCCGAUACUGGCGGGCUUGAAUCCGGGAGAGGGAUGCAGAAUUCCAGGUGUAGCGGUGAAAUGCGUAGAUAUCUGGAGGAAUACCGGUGGCGAAGGCGGCAUCCUGGACCGGCAUUGACGCUGAGGAGCGAAAGCCAGGGGAGCAAACGGG